UUUCCGUAGGUGAACAUGCGGAAGGAUCAUUACAGAGUUCAUGCCCUCACGGGUAGAUCUCCCACCCUUGAAUAUUUAUACCUUAGUUGCUUUGGCAGGCCGUGGAAACACCAUGGGCUCCGGCUUAUGCGUGCCUGCCAGAGGAAACAAACUCUGUUUUUAGUGAUGUCUGAGUACUAUAUAAUAGUUAAAACUUUCAACAACGGAUCUCUUGGUUCUG
rnacentral:misc_RNA from 1 species